UUUUUCUUUUGUUUUCUGGUUAGAUUUGUUUUUCCUUUUUCUUUUAUUUAUUUCCCUUUUCUGUUUUAAUUCAAUUUAAAAUAUUUAUGCAUUUUAUAAAAAUGUGUUUACUACACCAUAUUUACCUAUGUAAUAUUUAGUACAAACCAAACAUUUUUAUUUUAAUGUUUGAAAACUUUUAUUAUUUACCAAACUUUGAAUUUGAAUUUUGGACCGGUUUUGAUCUAACAAUAGAUUAGCAGCAGUAACCGUGGUGACGUGGCACCAUUAGCGUGGGAUCACUGUAGCUUAAUUAUUCGGGCGUCACAAUUCUCCUCCACUACAAGAAAUCUCGUCCCGAGAUUUAAGAGGGGGUCUAAGGGGAAAAUUCUGGUUACGAAAUUCUAACGGGUCUUCUCGAUCUUGGUUUUUCUUCUCGAAGAGGUCGAUCCAUUACGUUGAAGUCUUUAUUCCUCUGCUUUAGGUAGUUGUGAUGAAAUCGUCAUCCUUUUCUUCGGAAACUCCAAUGUACUUACGAAUAGGUAAGGGGCAGCUCGACUACGACAGAAUGCUUAGGAGGGAAACAAUCUGGGGCUAGCCCAUGAAUGAGCAUAAGAUUAUCUCUCGAGUUGAACAUAUAAAAUACAUCGAGUGUAAGGUACAAAGGUACAAUAAGAAGUUUCAAGCGGAUACAUAGUUGCUCGAAGUCUGGACCAGAGUGAGAAAGGGGUUCAAAGUAGCGAGAGUAAGUAUUGCGUCUGAUACCAGAAUAGAGCACUAGGAAGGUGGCACGUGAAUUAAAUACGAAGCCAAGCCUGAGGAAUAACCAUUAGAAACAGGGUUGAACAGGAGAGUCAGGUUUCGAUCCUGUGGAACUGUGGGUUAUGGGCCCACCAUGUGGGUUAAAAGUAGGAAGGGCGGAGACGUCUUGUGUGAUCAUGUAAGCAAGGCAUGUCAGAGGAUGGCCUGUCAUUUAUGUCGGCAACAACAUCGGUACCAAGGGCGAGGGACGAAGAGAACCAUUUUCCUGCUCGUUGAACGAGGCGGACCAAUAGGCAAAGUUCUCCAUCGGUGGCUACCGGAAUGUCAUCAACAGUGGUAACAGGGUCUUACCGACAUGAUUGUACACCGAGGUGUUUACAUAAGCAGAAGAAUAUUACUGCUUAGAUCAUAUGGGUCACAAGGAAGAUUAAACAAAUCAAUGGAAAGGCAAAUGUGAUCAUCAGGUUAAACAGAACAAUGGAAAGGAAAAAUGUGUUUAAACACAUAUUUCAGGGGUAUAUCCUUCCCAAGGACAAGCAGAGCAUGAUAUCCAUGACAGGAUAUUAUGUAGAAAACUCCUUAGGUAGGGGAGAGAAAUUUCAUGACAUUACCCAUACAACGGUGUUUGGAUAAUUGAUAAAGAAAAUUUAGCAUUGUGCUUCAAAUAUUCUUGUUGAAAAUUGGAGUACCACGGACAUGCUUCAAGAUAGCAUUGACAUGGUCUUCAAACAAAGGUCGAUUUUUAGAUACUCAAUGGAUCCAUCAGGAACAGCUUAUAACAUAGGUCUUACAAUUUCCUCCAGGAAGAAUGGUUAUCCUUGCAAAUAAACCAUAAUGAUAGGUCCUCCGGCCGGGGGGGGGGUGCUAGGCAUGACAUCCUAUUACCAGGUCAUCAAAGGGCCAACCACAUAACUCUUGAAAAGUUAUCCCAACCAUCAUAUCUGACCGAGAUUCAGAUCCGAUUGGUGUCAUGAUACCUCAGACUCAGGAUGUCCGAGAAGAAAAGGUGCAACACAAAUAGACGAAAUGACAUUUCAAGAUUCUCAGGAAAUGAACUAUGGGCGUGGGUUCCUGAAACAAUAGUUCAUCAUCAAACCAAGGAGAGGAGGAGGAGGUGGCUGAUGGGCUCGGCGAUAAUCCAUCGAGAUUUCUGACAAGAUGGAUUUCCAUAAUUAUGUGAACAAGGAGAUACCAUUUGUUAGAUCAAAUGGUAUAAUGAUGUAUGCUCGAGGAAACAUACUCAAUUAAACAUUGGUUGAAAGGUGCACCCGAAUAUGGGUUGGGUUGCACGAUCAAUGUUAGAAUGGUGACUUGACGAACAAAAGAAUUAGAAUGAAACUCGACCAUUCACUUCAAAGCAAUAGGGUUGCUAGAAGUUUUGAAUUCACACAUCAUAGUUCAAUUGUCGGUAUUCCAGUUAGAAACAACACGGGUACCAAGAAAGAAUGGUGAGGGUGAGAAGUAUCACCAUACCAAAAAUUCUUAAGAGGUGGAGUAAUCCUCACGACAUUCUUGACGUAAAAGGUGGUAAUACUCCAUGGUAAAGAAGAACAAAUGCUAGAUAGCAAGGAACUCGAGGUAUAACUGAAGGAAAUAUGCCCUAGAGGCAAUAAUAAAGUUAUUAUUUAUUUCCUUAUUUCAUGAUAAUUGUUUAUUAUUCAUCCUAGAAUUGUAUUAAUCGGAAACAUGAUACAUGUGUGAAUACAUAGACAAAAAGAGUGCCACUAGUAUGCCUCUACUUGACUAGCUCGUUAAUCAAAGAUGGUUAUGUUUCCUAGCCAUAGACAUGAGUUGUCAUUUGAUUAACGGGAUCACAUCAUUAGGAGAAUGAUGCGAUUGACAUGACCCAUUCAGUUAGCUUAGCACCCAAUCGUUUAGUAUGUUGCUAUUGCUUUCUUCAUGACUUAUACAUGUUCCUAUGACUAUGAGAUUAUGCAACUCCCGUUUACCGGAGGAACACUUUGUGUGCUACCAAAUGUCACAACGUAACUGGGUGAUUAUAAAGGUGCUCUACAGGUGUCUCCGAAGGUACUUGUUGGGUUGGCAUAUUUCGAGAUUAGGAUUUGUCACUCCGAAUGUCGGAGAGGUAUCUCUGGGCCCUCUCGGUAAUGCACAUCACAUAAGCCUUGCAAGCAAUGCAACUAAUGAGUUAGUUGCGAUAUGAUGUAUUACGGAAUGAGUAAAGAGACUUGCCGGUAACGAGAUUGAACUAGGUAUUGGAUACCGACGAUCGAAUCUUGGGCAAGUAACAUACCGAUGACAAAGGGAACAACGUAUGAUUUUAUGCGGUUUGACCGAUAAAGAUCUUCGUAGAAUAUGUGGGAGCCAAUAUGAGCAUCCAGGUUCCGCUAUUGGUUAUUGACCGAGAAUAGUUAUAGGUCAUGUCUACAUUGUUCUCGAACCCGUAGGGUCCGCACGCUUAAGGUUUCGAUGACAGUUAUAUUAUGAGUUUUGAUGCACCGAAGGAGUUCGGAGUCCCUGAUGAGAUCGGGCCAUGACGAGGAGUCUCGAAAUGGUCGAGAUGUAAAGAUCGAUAUAUUGGACGACUAUAUUCGGAGUUCGGAAAGGUUCCGAGUGAUUCGGGUAUUUUUCGGAGUACCGGAGAGUUACGGGAAUUCGCCGGGGAGUAUAUGGGCCUUAUUGGGCCAUACGGGAAUAGAGGAGAGAGGCUGAAAGGAAGGAGGGGCGCAGCCCCCCUCUGGUCCGAAUUGGACAAGGGGUGCGGCCCCCUUUUCCUUCCUCCUCUCCCCUUCUUUCCCCCUUCUCCUACUCCAACAAGGAAGGAGGGAGUCCUACUCCCGGUGGGAGUAGGACUCCCCUUGGCGCGCCCAUUCUAGGCCGGCCGCCCCCUCCCCCCUUGCUCCUUUAUGUACGGGUGCAGGGGGGCACCUCUAGACACAACAACAAUUGAUCCCUUGGAUCUCUUAGCCGUGUGCGGUGCCCCCUCUACCAUAGUCCUCCUCGAUAAUAUUGUAGCGGUGCUUAGGCGAAGCCCUGCGACGGUAGAACAUCAAGAUCAUCACCACGCCGUCGUGCUGACGGAACUCAUCCCCGACACUUUGCUGGAUCGGAGUCCGGGGAUCGUCAUCGAGCUGAACGUGUGCUAGAACUCGGAGGUGCCGUAGUUUCGGUGCUUGAUCGGUCGGACCGUGAAGACGUACGACUACAUCAACCGCGUUGUUAUAACGCUUCCGCUUUCGGUCUACGAGGGUACGUAGACAACACUCUCCCCUCUCGUUGCUAUGCAUCACCAUGAUCUUGCGUGUGCGUAGGAAUUUUUUUGAAAUUACUACGUUCCCCAACAGUGGCAUCCGAGCCUAGGUUUUAUGCGUUGAUGUUAUAUGCACGAGUAGAACACAAGUGAGUUGUGGGCGAUACAAGUCAUACUGCUUACCAGCAUGUCAUACUUUGUUUCGGCGGUAUUGUUGGAUGAAGCGGCCCGGACCGACAUUAGCGUACGCUUACGCGAGACUGGUUCUACCGACGUGCUUUGCACACAGGUGGCUGGCGGGUGUCAGUUUCUCCAACUUUAGUUGAACCGAGUGUGGCUACGCCCGGUCCUUGCGAAGGUUAAAACAACACUAACUUGACGAACUAUCGUUGUGGUUUUGAUGCGUAGGUAAGAACGGUUCUUGCUCAGCCCGUAGCAGCCACGUAAAACUUCCAACAACAAAGUAGAGGACGUCUAACUUGUUUUUGCAGGGCAUGUUGUGAUGUGAUAUGGUCAAGACGUGAUGAGAUAUAAGUUGUUGUAUGAGAUGAUCAUGUUUUGUUGAAGUUAUCGGCAACUGGCAGAAGCCCUAUGGUUGUUUCUUUGUUGCAUAAGAUGCAAGUGCCAAAUAAUUGCUUUACUUUAUGGCUAUGCGAUAGCAAUAGUUAGCGAGACGACCAUGUGACGACACAUCGAUAUAGAUCAAGAUGAUGAAGAUCAUGGUGUCGUGCCGGUGAUGAUAGAGAUCAUGACAGUAUUUUGGAGAUGGAGAUCAAAGGCGCAAGAUGAUCAUGGCCAUAUCAUGUCACAUAUUUUGAUUGCAUGUGAUGUUUAUCUUUUAUACAUCUUAUUUUGCUUAGUUAGACGGUAGCUUUAUAAGAUGAUCUCUCACUAAAUUAUCAAGAAGUGUUCUCCCUGAGUAUGCACCGUUGCCAAAGUUCGUCGUGCCCAGACACCACGUGAUGAUCGGGUGUGAUAAGCUCUACGUCCAUCUACAACGGGUGCAAGCCAGUUUUGCAUACGCAGAAUACUCAGGUUAAACUUGACGAGCCUAGCAUAUGCAGAUAUGGCCUCGGAACACGGAGACCGAAAGGUCGAGCGUGAAUCAUAUAGUAGAUAUGAUCAACAUAGUGAUGUUCACCAUUGAAAACUACUCCAUCUCACGUGAUGAUCGGUUAUGGUUUAGUUGAUUUGGAUCACGUGAUCACUUAGAUGACUAGAGAGAUGUCUGUCUAAGUGGGAGUUCUUAAGUAAUAUGAUUAAUUGAACUUUAAUUUAUCAUGGACUUAGUCCUGGUAGUAUUAGCAUAUCUAUGUUGUAGAUCAAUAGCUCGCGUUGUUGCUUUUAUAUGUUUAUUUUGAUAUGUUCCUAGAGAAAAUUGUGUUGAAAGAUGUUAGUAGCAAUGAUGCGGAUUGGAUCCGUGAUCUGAGGUUUAUCCUCAUUGCUGCACAGAAGAAUUAUGUCCUUGAUGCACCGCUAGGUGACAGACCUAUUGCAGGAGUAGAUGCAGACGUUAUGAAGGUUUGGCUAGCUCAAUAUGAUGACUACUUGAUAGUUUAGUGCACCAUGCUUAACGGCUUAGAAUCGGGACUUCAAAGACGUUUUGAACGUCAUGGACCAUAUGAGAUGUUCCAGGAGUUGAAGUUAAUAUUUCAAGCAAAUACCCGAGUUGAGAGAUAUGAAGUCUCCAACAAGUUCUAUAGCUAAAAGAUGGAGGAGAAUCGCUCAACUAGUGAGCAUGUGCUCAGAUUGUCUGGGUACUACAAUCGCUUGAAUCAAGUGGGAGUUAAUCUUCCAGAUAAAAUAGUGAUUGACAGAAUUCUCUAGUCACCAUCAUCAAGUUAGUAGAACUUCGUGAUGAACUAUAAUAUGCAAGGGAUAACGGAAACGAUUCCCAAGCUCUUCGUGAUGCUAAAAUCGACGAAGGUAAAAAUCAAGAAAAACAUCAAGUGUUGAUGGUAGACAAGACCACCAGUUUCAAGAAAAAGGCAAAAGGAAGAAGGGGAACUUCAAGAAGAACGACAAGCAAGUUGCUGCUCAGGUGAAGAAACCCAAGUCUGGUCCUAAGCCUGAGACUAAGUGCUUCUACUGCAAAGGGAUUGGUCACUGGAAGCGGAACUACCCCAAAUAUUUGGCGGAUAAGAAGGAUGGAAAAGUGAACAAAAGUAUAUUUGAUAUACACGUUAUUGAUGUGUACUUUACUAGUGUUUAUAGCAACCCCUCAGUAUUUGAUACUAGUUCAGUUGCUAAGAUUAGUAACUCGAAAUGGGAGUUGCAGAAUGAAUAGAGACUAAUUAAGGGUGAAGUGACGAUGAAAGUUGGAAGUAGUUCCAAGAUUAAUAUGAUCAUCACACACUCCCUAUACUUUCGGGAUUAGUGUUAAACCUAAAUAAGUGUUAUUUGGUGUUUAUAUUGAGCAUGAAUAUGAUUUGAUCAUGUUUAUUGCAAUACGGUUAUUCAUUUAAGUAAGAGAAUAAAUUGUUGUUCUGUUUACAUGAAUAAAACCUUGUAUGGUUACACACCCAAUGAAAAUAGUUCAUUGGAUCUCGAUCGUAGUAAUACACAUAUUCAUAAUAUUGAAGCCAAAAGAUGCAAAGUUAAUAAUGAUAGUGCAACUUAUUUAUGGCACUGCCGUUUAGGUCAUAUUGGUGUAAAGCGCAUGAAGAAACUCCAUGCUGAUGGGAUUUUGGAAUCACUUGAUUAUGAAUCACUUGAUGCUUGCGAACCGUGCCUCAUAGGCAAGAUGACUAAAACGCCGUUCUCCGGUACUAUGGAGAGAGCAACAGAUUUGUUGGAAAUCAUAUAUACAGAUGUAUGUGGUCCGAUGAAUGUUGAGGCUCGCAGCGGGUAUCAUUAUUUUCUGAUCUUCAUAGAUGUUUUGAGCAAAUAUGAGUAUAUCUACUUGAUGAAACAUAAGUCUGAAAUAGUUGAAAGGUUCAAAGAAUUUCAAAGUGAAGUGGAAAAUCAUCGUAACAAGAAAAUAAAGUUUCUGCGAUCUGAUCGUGGAGAUGAAUAUUUGAGUUAUGAGUUUGGUCUUCAAUUAAAACAAUGUGGAAUAGUUUCACAGCUCACGCCACCUGGAACACCACAACGUUAUGGUGUGUCCGAACGUUGUAACCGCACUUUAUUUGAUAUGGUGCGAUCAAUGAUGUCUCUUACCGAUUUACUAAUACCGUUUUGGGGUUAUGCAUUAGAGACAGCUGCAUUCACGUUAAAUAGGGCACCAUCUAAAUCCAUUGAGAUGACACCUUAUGAACUGUGGUUUGGCAAGAAACUCAAGUUGUCGUUUCUUAAAGUUUGGGGUUACGAUGCUUAUGUGAAAAAGUUUCACCCGCUAAGCUCAAACCCAAAUCGGAGAAGUGCGUCUUCAUAGAAUACCCAAAGGAAACUAUUGGGUACACCUUCUAUCACAGAUCCAAAGGCAAGAUAUUCGUUGCUAAAAAUGGAUCCUUUCUAGAGAAGGAGUUUCUCUCGAAAGAAGUGAGUGGGAGGAAAGUGGAACUUGAUAAGGUAAUUGUACCUUCUCCCGAAUUGGAAAAUAGUUCAUCACAGAAAUCAGUUCCAGUGAUGUCUACACCAAUUAGUGAGGAAGUUAAUGAUGAUGAUCAUGAAACUUCAGAUCAAGUUGUUACUGAACCUUGUAGGUCAACCAGAGUAAGAUCCGCACUAGACUGGUACGGUAAUCCUGUUCUGGAAGUUAUGUUACUAGACCAUGACGAACCUACGAACUAUGAAGAAGCGAUGGUGAGCCCAGAUUCCACGAAAUGGCUUGAGGCCAUGAAAUCUGAGGUAGGAUCCAUGUAUGAGAACAAAGUAUGGACUUUGAUUGACUUGCCCGAUGAUCGGUGAGUCAUUAAGAAUAAAUGGAUCUUCAAGAGGAAGACAUAUGCUGAUAGUAGUGUUACUAUCUACAAAGCUAGACUUGUCGAAAAAGGUUUUUGACAAAGUUCAAGGUGUUGACUACGAUGAAAUUUUCUCACUCGUAGCGAUGCUUAAGUCUGUCCAAAUCAUGUUAGCAAUUGCCACAUUUUUAUGAAAUCUGGCAAAUGGAUAAACAAAACUACAUUCCUUAAUGGAUUUAAAGAAGAGUUGUAUAUGAUGCAACCAGAAGGUUUUGUCAAUCCUAAAGGUGCUGACAAAAUACACAAGCUCCAGCGAUCCAUCUAUGGACUGGUGCAAGCAUCUCGGAGUUGGAAUAUACGCUUUGAUAAGUUGAUCAAAGCAUAUAGUUUUAUACAGACUUGCGAUGAAGCCUGUAUUUACUAGAAAGUGAGUGGGAGCACUACAACAUUUCUGAUAAGUAUAUGUGAAUGACAUAUUGUAGAUUGGAAAUAAUGUAGAAUUAUUCUGCAAAGCAUAAAGGAGUGUUUGAAAGGAGUUUUUCAAAGAAAGACCUCGGUGAAGCUGCUUACAUAUUGAGCAUCAAGAUCUAUAGAGAUAGAUCAAGACGCUUGAUAAGUUUUUUCAAUGAGUACAUACCUUGACAAGAUUUUGAAGUAGUUCAAAAUGGAACAGUCAAAGAAAGAGUUCUUGCCUGUGUUACAAGGUGUGAAAUUGAGUAAGACUCAAAACCCGACCACGGCAGAAGAUAGAAAGAGAAUGAAAGUCAUUCCCUAUGCCUUGGCCAUAGGUUCUAUAAAGUAUGCCAUGCUGUGUACCAGAUCUAUUGUAUACCCUACACUGAGUUUGGCAUGGGAAUACAAUAGUGAUCUAGGAGUAGAUCACUGGACAGCGGUCAAAAUUAUCCUUAGUGGAAUAAGGAUAUGUUUCUCGAUUAUGGAAGUGACAAAAGGUUCAUCGUAAAGGGUUACGUCGAUGCAAGUUUUGACACCGAUCUGGAUGACUCUAAGUCUCGAUCUAGAUACAUAUUGAAAGUGGGAGCAAUUAGCUAGAGUAGCUCCGUGCAGAGCAUUGUAGACAUAGAAAAUUGCAAAAUACAUAACGGAUCUGAAUGUGAAAGACCCGUUGACUAAGAUUCUCUCACAAGCAAAACAUGAUCACACCUUAGCACUCUUUGGUGUUAAUCACAUAACGAUGUGAACUAGAUUACUGAAUCUAGUAAACCCUUUGGGUGUUGGUCACAUGGCGAUGUGAACUAUGGGUGUUAAUCACAUGAUGAUGUGAACUAUCGAUGUUAAUCACAUAGUGAUGUGAUCUAGAUUAUUGACUCUAGUGCAAGUGGGAGACUGAAGGAAAUAUGCCCUAGAGGCAAUAAUAAAGUUAUUAUUUAUUUCCUUAUUUCAUGAUAAUUGUUUAUUAUUCAUUCUAGAAUUGUAUUAAUCGGAAACAUGAUACAUGUGUGAAUACAUAGACAAACAGAGUGUCACUAGUAUGCCUCUACUUGACUAGCUCGUUAAUCAAAGAUGGUUAUGUUUCCUAGCCAUAGACAUGAGUUGUCAUUUGAUUAACGGGAUCACAUCAUUAGGAGAAUGAUGUGAUUGACAUGACCCAUUCAGUUAGCUUAGCACCCGAUCGUUUAGUAUGUUGCUAUUGCUUUCUUCAUGACUUAUACAUGUUCCUAUGACUAUGAGAUUAUGCAACUCCCGUUUACCGGAGGAACACUUUGUGUGCUACCAAACGUCACAACGUAACUGGGUGAUUAUAAAGGUGCUCUACAGGUGUCUCCGAAGGUACUUGUUGGGUUGGAAUAUUUUGAGAUUAGGAUUUGUCACUCCGAAUGUCGGAGAGGUAUCUCUGGGCCCUCUCGGUAAUGCACAUCACAUAAGCCUUGCAAGCAAUGCAACUAAUGAGUUAGUUGCGAGAUGAUGUAUUACGGAACGAGUAAAGAGACUUGCUGGUAACAAGAUUGAACUAGGUAUUGGAUACCGACGAUCGAAUCUCGGGCAAGUAACAUACCGAUGACAAAGGGAACAACGUAUGAUGUUAUGCGGUUUGACCGAUAAAGAUCUUCGUAGAAUAUGUGGGAGCCAAUAUGAGCAUCCAGGUUCCGCUAUUGGUUAUUGACCGAGAAUAGUUCUAGGUCAUGUCUACAUUGUUCUCGAACCCGUAGGGUCCGCAAGCUUAAGGUUUCGAUGACAGUUAUAUUAUGAGUUUAUGAGUUUUAAUGUACCGAAGGAGUUCGGAGUCCCUGAUGAGAUCGGGGACAUGACGAGGAGUCUCGAAAUGGUCGAGACGUAAAGAUCGAUAUAUUGGACGAUUAUAUUCGGAGUUCGGAAAGGUUCCGAGUGAUUCGGGUAUUUUUUGGAGUACCGGAGAGUCACGGGAAUUCGCCGGGGAGUAUGUGGGCCUUAUUGGGCCAUACGGGAAUAGAGGAGAGAGGCCGAAAGGAAGGAGGCGCGCAGCCCCCCUCUGGUCCGAAUUGGACAAGGGGCGCGGCCCCCUUUUCCUUCCUCCUCUCCCCCUCUUUCCCCCUUCUCCUACUCCAACAAGGAAGGAGGGAGUCCUACUCCCGGUGGGAGUAGGACUCCCCUUGGCGCGCCCCUUCUAGGCCGGCCGCCCCUCCCCCCUUGCUCCUUUAUAUACGGGGGCAGGGGGGCACCUCUAGACACAACAACAAUUGAUCCCUUGGAUCUCGCCGUGUGCGGUGCCCCCUCUACCAUAGUCCUCCUCGAUAAUAUUGUAGCGGUGCUUAGGCGAAGCCCUGCGACGGUAGAACAUCAAGAUCAUCACCACGCCGUCGUGCUGACGGAACUCAUCCCCGACACUUUGCUGGAUCGGAGUCCGGGGAUCGUCAUCGAGCUGAACGUGUGCUAGAACUCGGAGGUGCCGUAGUUUCGGUGCUUGAUCGGUCGGACCGUGAAGACGUACGACUACAUCAACCGCGUUGUUAUAACGCUUCCGCUUUCGGUCUACGAGGGUACGUAGACAACACUCUCCCCUCUCGUUGCUAUGCAUCACCAUGAUCUUGCGUGUGCGUAGGAAAUUUUUUGAAAUUACUACGUGCCCCAACAAUAACACAGAACACAAACAAGUUUUUGUUGGAGGGAACGCAAUAAAGAGGCCGAUGACAACACAAAUCAUCAAGGGCAAGGAUGGUAUUUCUCAUCAUUAAUUCAAUUGAUAUCCUGGAAGAGCAUCAGAAUGUAGAUGAUGAUCAUGACACAUUUGUCGAGAGAUUUCACGAAGAUGUAAUCGAUCGACGAUGACAUCAAGUCAAACGAAUGAUGAAGCGAAAGGUUGUUGGAACCAUGAGUAGGACAUAGACCCGAGAGCAAGUUUGUUGUUCAAGAUGGAACGAUAAGACAAGGAAACCGACGUAAGCUUAGCUCAAUCUUCGAAUGUUGUGCUCCGGAAUUAAGGACCCGAUAGCACAGUUAAAAUUAGCACGAUAAUGAUGUAGCCGAUCAGGCUAGGAGUGACGGGAUGGAGUAUUAAACUUCUCAACCACAAAGUACUGGGGGUACCGAAUCUCAGUGUUGAUUUGAUUCACAAAUCGGGGUUCUCGGUUGACGACAACCCAUAACCCGUGGAGUGACUGUGAUGGGGAAACGUACUACUUCAUCAGAAAUUCAUAAGAUGAAGUGCAAUGGGUUGAUAUCCUCGAGAUACCAGGGGGUAAUACUCGAAGGUAGAACAAAAUAGAGGUUGGGAAGGCGUACUGAUCUGCAGAAGGCAAGUAUUUUAACUUGUCCGAGAAAUAGAAUCAAAGGAGAACAAUCAUGGUCGGAACCCACGAUCAUAAAGGAUCAAACCAUGGAUACAAGAUGAACUUAUAACAAGGGGUAAUUAUUUUUACGAGCAGCUUCCAUGAUAAGUUAUACAUCGUGUCCAUGGGCAUGAACGCAAGGUUCAAGGCCGACUCCCGCUUCUUCAAUGUAUAACCUUCCAUUCACUUCUCGCUUUGAUAAAGGCAUUAGUGUUGAAAGUUUUACCUGGUGAAAUACCAGAUGAGUAUGACUCGUGAAAACUCCCGAGGUCACACUUAUAAAGGAAGGCAUAGGUUCAACCCGUCAGGGUAUCGUGGAAACAUAUACCACAACCUUCAAUAGUAAAUACCACUAGCUCGAAAGCAGAGCAUGGUUGGUCAAGCAGAGGAUACAAUGUACCAAAGGCAUUAUGUAUUAGGGGAAAGAACUCACAAGGUGAUUAAUUAUGAAGGACACUGUCGGAUAAUAAUCCAAGAGUGGAUAUGGCGAACCACAAUGGAGCUGAUGUGAGUAUCGAUACCCAAUCAGAGGAAGAAAGAAUGCAAAUGCAUCGGUUUAUAGAACAUCUGAAUAAUUCAACAUUUAAAUAACAAAGGGAUUAUGAUUUUCAAAUCAAGGGAUCAGAAGCAACCGCUCUGAUUUAAGGAUGGAUAAGUUGAGUAGGCUUAGGGAUACCAUCGAUGGUAAUUUGAUUGGUCGAGAUCCAGCUCAUGCUCAAAAUGAAAUCUGAGCCGGAAAGACAAUUUAAAAGGAUCAACCGAUGAUUGUGAACAUUCACAAUGUAUUGAAUCAACGGACUCAAAAAUGAUGGUGACAAAGGAUGCCAAUAUGAUUACUAUACUUAUGGGAUUAAUCAUAAUGAAAGCCAACAAGAAAUUCCAGAGCAAUAGGUUGCUGAGGAUUUUCAGAAUAUCGAAUGGUAUUUCGAAGACUUUUGUGUAACACAUGAUCAACUGGGGGAUGAGCGGAUACUCGAUAAGUGCGAGAAUUAACCGUAGGGGUAUUCAGGUGACAAAGAACAGCAAUGCAGUAAGCUCAAAGGAUUAUCGAAACAACGACGAAUUUUUCAGGGUAUCUUGUAAUAACAAGACCAAUUGGGGAUGAAUGUAAGAAUAACAACUGCAAGUAGUUAUCCAUAAGGGUUUGCGGUGGAAGGGGAAUUGCAAACGCGAUGAACACAAGUUCUCGGGUUAACCGCGGAGAGUAUCUUUAGGGUCUUCUGGUGCAGCAGACGAUCAUCAGUAAUAAGGGGCUCUCUGGGUGAAAGUGAUAACGAGAUCCUAAUGUUAGAUUUAGUAAACUUCAUUUAACCCGAAUAGGAGAGAGUUCAGAGUCCCGGAGUAAAGAUCGAGGAGUAAAAGAUCCUAACACCACCCAAAAGGCGACGUGGGCCCAUGGGCCGCACAGCCAUGUUAGUAAAACAGUUUUCAUCGACUAGACUCGACUUCGGCCAAGGAGUGUGGAAGGGGGAUUCCUACAGGCAGUCGGCUCUGAUACCAAUUUGUGACGCCCCCGAUUCAAUCGUACACUAAUCAUACAUGCAAACGUGUACGAUCAAGAUCAUGGACUCACGGGAAGAUAUCACAACACAACUCUAAAAAUAAAAUAAGUCAUACAAGCAUCAUAAUACAAGCCAGGGGCCUCGAGGGCUCGAAUACAGGUGCUCGAUCAUAGACGAGUCAGCGGAAGCAACAAUAUCUGAGUACAAACAUAAGUUAAACAAGUUUGUCUUAAGAAGGCUAGCACAAACUGGGAUACAGAUUGAAAGAGGCGCAGGCCUCCUGCCUGGGAUCCUCCUAACUACUCCUGGUCGUCGUCAGCGGCCUGCACAUAGUAGUAGGCACCUCCGGGGUAGUAGGAGUCGUCGUCGACGGUGGCGUCUGGCUCCUGGGCUUCGACAUCUGGUUGCGGCAACUAGGUAGAAGGGAAAGGGGGAAAAGAGGGAGAAAAGAAACCGUGAGUACUCAUCCAAAGUACUCGCAAGCAAGGAGCUACACUACAUAUGCAUGGAUAUAUGUGUAAAGGGCCAUAUUAGUGGAUUGAACUGUAGAAUGCCAGAAUAAGAGGGGGAUAGCUAAUCCUGGCGAAGACUACACUUCUGGCAGCCUCCGUCUUUCAGCAUAUAGAAGAGAGUAGACUGAAGUCCUCCAACUAGCAUCGUAUAACAUAAUCCUACCCGGCGAUCCCCUCAUCGUAACCCUGAUAGAGAGCGACCACCGGGUUGUAUCUGGCACUUGGAAGGGUGUGUUUUAUUAAGUAUCCGGUUCUAGUUGUCAUAAGGUCAAGGUACAACUAUGGGUCGUCCUUUUACAGAGGGACACGGCUAUUCGAAUAGAUUAAACUUCCCUGCAGGGGUACACCACAUAACCCAACACGCUUGAUCCCAUUUGGCCGGACACACUUUUUGUUGGAAAUAUGCCCUAGAGGCAAUAAUAAAAGUAUUAUUAUUAUAUUUCCUUGUUCAUGAUAAUUGUCUUUUAUUCAUGCUAUAACUGUAUUAUCCGGAAAUCGUAAUACACGUGUGAAUACAUAGACCACAAUAUGUCCCUAGUGAGCCUCUAGUUGACUAGCUCGUUGAGAUCAAUAGAUAGUCAUGGUUUCCUGGCUAUGGACAUUGGAUGUCGUUGAUAAUGGGAUCACAUCAUUAGGAGAAUGAUGUGAUGGACAAGACCCAAUCCUAAGCAUAGCACAAAGAUCGUGUAGUUCGUUUGCUAGAGCUUUUCCAAUGUCAAGUAUCUCUUCCUUAGACCAUGAGAUCGUGUAACUCCCGGAUACCGUAGGAGUGCUUUGGGUGUAUCAAACGUCACAACGUAACUGGGUGACUAUAAAGGUGCACUACAGGUAUCUCCGAAAGUGUCUGUUGGGUUGACACGGAUCGAGACUGGGAUUUGUCACUCCGUGCAAACGGAGAGGUAUCUCUGGGCCCACUCGGUAGGACAUCAUCAUAAUGUGCACAGUGUGACCAAGGGGUUGAUCACAGGAUGAUGUGUUGCGGAACGAGUAAAGAGACUUGCCGGUAACGAGAUUGAACAAGGUAUCGGCAUACCGACGAUCGAAUCUCGGGCAAGUAAAAUACCGCUAGACAAAGGGAAUUGUAUAUGGGAUCGACUGAGUCCUUGACAUCGUGGUUCAUGCGAUGAGAUCAUCGUGGAACAUGUGGGAGCCAACAUGGGUAUACAGAUCCCGCUGUUGGUUAUUGACCGGAGAACGUCUCGGUCAUGUCUACAUGUCUCCCGAACCCGUAGGGUCUACACACUUAAGGUUCGAUGACGCUAGGGUUAUAAAGGAAGCUUGUAUGUGGUUACCGAAUGUUGUUCGGAGUCCCGGAUGAGAUCCCGGACGUCACGAGGAGUUCCGGAAUGGUCCGGAGGUAAAGAUUUAUAUAUGGGAAGUCCUGUUUUGGUCACCGGAAAGGUUUCGGGUUUUAUCGGUAACGUACCGGGACCACCGGGAGGGUCCCGGGGGUCCACCAAGUGGAGCCACCUACCCCAGAGGGCUGCAUGGGCCAUGUGUGGGAGGGAACCAGCCCCAGGUGGGCUGGUGCGCCCCCCACAAGGGGCCCAAGGCGCAGGAAGUGGGGAAGGGGGGCAAACCCUAGGGCAGAUGGGCCCUAAGGCCCACCCUGGGUGCGCCUCCCCCUCUCUCCCCCUCUGGCCGCCACCCAGAUGGGAUCUGAGGGCUGGCCGCCGCCCCCUAGGGGUGGAAACCUAGGUGGGGGCACAGCCCCCUCUCCCCCUAUAUAUAGUGAGGCAUAGGAGCAGCCCAACACAUGAGUUUCUUCUCCUGUUGGCGCAGCCAUACCUCUCUCCCUUCUCCUCAGAUCUCGCGGUGCUUGGCAAAGCCCUGCUGGACUACCACGCUCCUCCAUCACCACCACGCCGUUGUGCUGCUGCUGGAUGGAGUCUUCCUCAACCUCUCCCUCUCUCCUUGCUGGAUCAAGGCGCGGGAGACGUCACCGGGUUGUACGUGUGUUGAACGCGGAGGUGUCGUCCGUUCGGCACUAGGAUCUCCGGUGAUUUGGAUCACGACGAGUACGACUCCUUCAACCCCGUUCUCUUGAACGCUUCCGCUUAGCGAUCUACAAGGGUAUGUAGAUGCACUCUCCUUCCCCUCGUUGCUGGUUUCUCCAUAGAUAGAUCUUGGUGACACGUAGGAAAUUUUUUGAAUUUCUGCUACGUUCCCCAACAGUGGCAUCAUGAGCUAGGUCUAUUGCAUAGAUUCUUUGCACGAGUAGAACACAAAGUAGUUGUGGGCGUUGAUGUUGUUCAAUAUGCUUACCGUUACUAGUCCAAUCUUGUUUCGACGGUAUUGUGGGAUGAAGCGGCCCAGACCGACCUUACACGUACUCUUAUGUGAGACAGGUUCCACCGAUUGACAUGCACUUCGUGCAUAAGGUGGCUAGCGGGUGCCAGUCUCUCCCACUUUAGUCGGAACGGAUUCGAUGAAAAGGGUCCUUAUGAAGGGUAAAUAGCAAUUGGCAUAUCACGUUGUGGUUUUGCGUAGGUAAGAAACGUUCUUGCUAGAAACCCAUAGCAGCCACGUAAAACAUGCAAACAACAAUUAGAGGACGUCUAACUUGUUUUUGCAGGGUAUGCUAUGUGAUGUGAUAUGGCCAAGAAGAAUGUGAUGAAUGAUAUGGGAUAUAUGAGAUUGAUCAUGUUCUUGUAAUAGGAAUCACGACUUGCAUGUCGAUGAGUAUGACAACCGGCAGGAGCCAUAGGAGUUGUCUUGAUUUAUUGUAUGACCUGCGUGUCAUUGAACAACGCCAUGUAAUUACUUUACUUUAUUGCUAACCGGUAGCCAUAGUAGUAGAAGUAAUAGUUGGCGAGACAACUUCAUGAAGACACGAUGAUGGAGAUCAUGAUGAUGAAGAUCAUGGUGUCAUGCCGGUGACGAUGAUAAUCAUGGAGCCCCGAAGAUGGAGAUCAAAAGGAGCAAAAUGAUAUUGGCCAUAUCAUGUCACUAUUUGAUUGCAUGUGAUGUUUAUCAUGUUUAUGCAUCUUGUUUACUUAGGACGACGGUAGUAAAUAAGAUGAUCCCUUACAAAAUUUCAAGAAGUGUUCUCCCCUAACUGUGCACCGUUGCUACAGUUUGUCGCUUCUAAGCACCACGUGAUGAUCGGGUGUGAUGGAUUCUUACGUUCACAUACAACGGGUGUAAGACAGUUUUACACAGCGAAAACACUUAGGGUUAACUUGACGAGCCUAGCAUGUACAGACAUGGCCUCGGAACACGGAGACCGAAAGGUCGAGCAUGAGUCGUAUAGUAGAUACGAUCAACAUGAAGAUGUUCACCGAUGAUGACUAGUCCGUCUCACGUGAUGAUCGGACACGACCUAGUUGACUUGGAUCAUGUAAUCACUUAGAUGACCAGAGGGAUGUCUAUCUGAGUGGGAGUUCAUAAGAUGAACUUAAUUAUCCUGAACAUAGUCAAAAGAUCUUUGCAAAUUAUGUCGUAAGCUCGCGCUUUAGUUCCACUAUUUAGAUAUGUUCCUAGAGAAAAUAUAGUUGAAAGUUGACAGUAGCGAUUAUGCGGACAGUAGAAAACUCAUGUCCUUAAUGCACCGCUCAGUGUGCUGAACCCCAAACGUCGUUUGUGGAUGUUGCGAACAUCGGACAUACACGUUUUGAUAACUACGUGAUAGUUCGGAAUAAACAGUUUAGAAUUAAGGCACCAAAGAUGUUUUUCGAAAUGUCGCGGAACAUAUGAGAUGUUUCGAGGGCUGAAAUUGAGAUUUCAGGCUCGUGCCCACGUCAAGAGGUAUGAGACCUCCGACAAUUUUCUUAGCCUGCAAACUAAGGGAGAAAAGCUCAAUCGUUGAGCUUGUGCUCAGAUUGUCUGAGUGCAACAAUCACUUGAAUCGAGUGGGAGUUAAUCUUCCAGAUGAGAUAGUGACGUUUCUCCAAAGUCAUUGCCACCAAGCUGCUAGAGCUUCGUGAUGAACUAUAACAUAUCAGGGAUAGAUAUGAUGAUCCUUGAGGUAUUCGUGAUGUUUGACACCGCGAAAGUAGAAAUCAAGAAGGAGCAUCAAUUGUUGAUGGUUGGUGAAACCACUAGUUUCAAGAAGGGCAAGGGCAAGAAGGGAUACUUCAUGAAACGGCAAAUCAGCUGCUGCUCUAGUGAAGAAACCCAAGGUUGAACCCAAACCCGAGACUAAGUGCUUCUGUAAUAAGGGGAAUAGCCACUGGAGCGGAAUUACCCUAGAUACUUGGUAGAUGAGAAGGCUGGCAAGGUCGAUAGAAGUAUAUUGGAUAUACAUUAUGUUAAUGUGUACUUUACUAGUACUUCUAGUAGCACCAGGGUAUUAGAUACCGUUUCGGUUGCUAAGUGUUAGUAACUCGAAAUAAAAGCUACGGAAUAAACGGAGACUAGCUAAAGGUGAGCUGAUGAUAUGUGUUGGAAGUGUUUCCAAGGUUGAUGUGAUCAAGCAUCGCCCGCUCACUCUACCAUCGAAAUUUGGUGUUUGCGUUGAGCAUAGACAUGAUUGGAUUAUGUCUAUCGCAAUACGGUUAUUCAUUUAAGGAGAAUAAUGGUUACUCUAUUUAUUUGAAUAAUACCUUCAAUGGUCUUGCACCUAAAGGAAUGGUUUAUUGAAUCUCGAUCAUAGUGAUACACAUUUUCAUGCCAAAAAGGAUAUAAGAUAGUAAUGAUAGUACCACUUACUUGUGGCACUGCCAUGUAAGUCAUAUUGGUGUAAAACGCAUGAAGAAGCUCCAUGUUGAUGGAUCUUUGGACUCACUCGUUUUGGAAAAGUUUGAGACAUGCAAACCAUGUCUAUUGGUAUGUACGCAUGAAGAAACUCCAUGCAGAUGGAUCGUUUGGACUCACUUGAUUUUGAAUCACUUGAGAUAUGCAAAUCAUACCACAUGGGCAAGAUGACUAAAAGCCUCGUUUUUCAGUAAAAUGGAACAAGAUAGCAACUUGUUGGAAGUAACACUUUUUGAUGUGUGCAGUCCAAUGAGUGCUGAGGCAUGCAGUGAAUAUCGUUAUGUUCUUACUUCACAGAUGAUUCGAGUAGAUGUAGAGUAUAUUUACUUGAUGAAACACAAGUCUGAAUUAUUGAAUGGUUCAAGUAAUUUCAGAGUGAAGUUGAAGAUCAUCGUGACAAGAGGAUGAAAUGUCUAUGAUAUGAUCAUAGAGAUGAGUAUCUGAGUUACGAGCUUUGGCACACAAUUAAGACAUUGUGGAAAUUGUUUCACAAUUAAUACCGCCUGGAACACCAUAGUUUGAUGGUGUGUCCGAACAUCAUAGUUGCACCCUAUUGGAUAUGGUGCGUACCAUGAUGUCUCUUAUCGAAUUACCACUAUAGUUUAUGGGUUAGGCAUUAGAGAUAACCACAUUCACUUUAAAUAGGGCACCACGUAAUUCCGUUGAGAUGACACCGUAUGAACUAUGGUUUAAAGAAACCUAAGUUGUCAUUUCUUAAAGGUUUGGGGCUGCGACGCUUAUGUGAAAAAGUUUCAGGUUGAUAAGCUCGAACCCAAAGCGGAUAAAAUGCAUCUUCAUAGGACACCCAAAACAGGUGGGUAUACCUCCUAAUUCAGAUCCGAAAGCAAUAGGGAUUGUUUCUUGAAUCGGGUCCUUUCUCGAGGAAAAGUUUGUCUCGAAAAGUUGAGUGGGAGGAUGGUGGAAACUUGAUAUGGUUAUUGAACCGUCACUACAACUAGUGUGUAGCAGGGCACAGGAAGUUGUUCCUGUGGCACCUACACCAAUUGAAGUAGAAGCUUAUGAUAGUGAUCAUGAAACUUCGGAUCAAGUCACUACCGUACCUCGUAGGGUGACAAGGAUGCGUACUGCUUCAGAGUGGUACAGUAAUCCUGUCUUGAAGGUCAUGUUGCUAGACAACAAUGAACCUACGAGCUAUGGAGAAGCGAUGGUGGGCCCAAAUUCCGACAAAUGGUUAGAAGCCAUGAAAUCCGAGGUAGGAUCCAUGUAUCAGAACAAAGCAUGGACUUUGGUGGACUUGCCCGAUGAUCGGCAAGCCAUUAAGAUAAAUGGAUCUUUAAGAAGAAGACGGACGUGGAUGGUAAUGUCACCAUCUAUGAAGCUCGACUUGUGGCGAAGAGUUUUUCACAAGUUCAAAGAGUUGACUACGAUGAGAUUUUCUCAUCCGUAGCGAUGCUUAAGUCCGUCGGAAUCAUGUUAGCAUUAGCUGCAUUUAUGAAAUCUGGCAGAUGGAUGUCAAAACGAGUUUCCUUACCAGUCUUCAUAAGGAAAGGUUGUAUGCGAUACAAUAAGAAAAGUUUUGUCGAUCCUAAGGAUGCUAAAAGGUAUGCUAGCUCCAGCGAUCCUUCCAUGGACUGGAGUAAGCAUCUCGGAGUUGGAAUGUGCGUUUUGAUGAGAUGAUCAAAGAUUUUGGGUUUAUACAAAAGUUUAUGAGAAACUUGUAUUUCCAAAGAAGUGAGUGGGAGCAUUAUAGAAUUUCUGAUGAGUAUAUGUUAUUGACAUAUUGUUGAUCAGAAAUGAUGUAGAAUUUCUGGAAAGCAUAUAGGGCUAUUGGAAAGUGUUUUUCAAUAGAAAACCUGGAUUAAGCUUCUUGAACAUUGAGCAUCAAGAUCUAUAAGGAUAGAUCAAAACACUUAAUGGUACUUUCAAAUGAGCAUAUACCUUGACAUGAUCUUGAAGGUGUUCAAGAUGGAUCAGUCAAAGAAGGAGUUCUUGCCUGAGAUGUAAGGUAUGAAGUUAAGACUUAAAAGCUCGACCACGGCAGAAUAGAGAGAAAGGACGAAGGUCGUCCCCUAUGUUUCAGACGUAGGCUCUAUAGUAUGCUAUGCUGUGUACUGCACCGGAAGUGUGCCUUGCCAUGAGUCAGUCAAGGGGUACAAGAAUGAUCCAGGAAUGGAUCAUUGGACAGCGGUCAAAAUUGUCCUUGAAGUAAAUAAGGACAUGUUUCUCGAUUAUGGAGGUGAUAAAGAGUUCGGCGUAAAGGGUUACGUCGAUGCAAGCUUUAACACCUAUCCGAGUGACUCUGAGUAGCAAACCGGAUACGUAUAGUGGAGCAACCAUUUGGAAUAGCUCCAAGUGGAGCGUGGAACUAGCAUUUACAAUAUGACCUAGAAAUUUGCAAAGCACACACGGAUCUGAAAGGUUCAGACCCGUUGACUAAAACCUCUCUCACAAGCAAAACAUGAUCAAACCCCAGAACUCAUUUGAUGAUGUUGGUCACAUGGCGAUGUGACCUGUGAGUGUUAAUCACAUGGUGAUGUGAACUAGAUUAUUGACUCUAGUGCAAGUGGGAGACUGUUGGAAAUAUGCCCUAGAGGCAAUAAUAAAAGUAUUAUUAUUAUAUUUCCUUGUUCAUGAUAAUUGUCUUUUAUUCAUGCUAUAACUGUAUUAUCCGGAAAUCGUAAUACACGUGUGAAUACAUAGACCACAAUAUGUCCCUAGUGAGCCUCUAGUUGACUAGCUCGUUGAGAUCAACAGAUAGUCAUGGUUUCCUGGCUAUGGACAUUGGAUGUCGUUGAUAACGGGAUCACAUCAUUAGGAGAAUGAUGUGAUGGACAAGACCCAAUCCUAAGCAUAGCACAAAGAUCGUGUAGUUCGUUUGCUAGAGCUUUUCCAAUGUCAAGUAUCUCUUCCUUAGACCAUGAGAUCGUGUAACUCCCGGAUACUGUAGGAGUGCUUUGGGUGUAUCAAACGUCACAACGUAACUGGGUGACUAUAAAGGUGCACUACAGGUAUCUCCGAAAGUGUCUGUUGGGUUGACACGGAUCGAGACUGGGAUUUGUCACUCCGUGCAAACGGAGAGGUAUCUCUGGGCCCACUCGGUAGGACAUCAUCAUAAUGUGCACAGUGUGACCAAGGGGUUGAUCAUGGGAUGAUGUGUUGCGGAACGAGUAAAGAGACUUGCCGGUAACGAGAUUUAACAAGGUAUCGGUAUACCGACGAUCGAAUCUUGGGCAAGUAAAAUACCGCUAGACAAAGGGAAUUGUAUACGGGAUCGACUGAGUCCUUGACAUCGUGGUUCAUCCGAUGAGAUCAUCGUGGAACAUGUGGGAGCCAACAUGGGUAUACAGAUCCCGCUGUUGGUUAUUGACCGGAGAACGUUUCGGUCAUGUCUACAUGUCUCCCGAACCCGUAGGGUCUACACACUUAAGGUUCGAUGACGCUAGGGUUAUAAAGGAAGCUUGUAUGUGGUUACCGAAUGUUGUUCGGAGUCCCGGAUGAGAUCCCGGACGUCACGAGGAGUUCCGAAAUGGUCCGGAGGUAAAGAUUUAUAUAUGGGAAGUCCUGUUUUGGUCACCGGAAAGGUUUCGGGUUUUAUCGGUAACGUACCGGGACCACCGGGAGGGUCCUGGGGGUCCACCAAGUGGGGCCACCUACCCCGGAGGGCUGCAUGGGCCAUGUGUGGGAGGGAACCAGCCCUAGGUGGGCUGGUGCGCCCCCCACAAGGGGCCCAAGGCGCAGGAAGUGGGGAAGGGGGGCAAACCCUAGGGCAGAUGGGCCCUAAGGCCCACCCUGGGUGCGCCUCCCCCUCUCUCCCCCUCUGGCCGCCACCCAGAUGGGAUCUGAGGGCUGGCCGCCGCCCCCUAGGGGUGGAAACCUAGGUGGGGGCGCAGCCCCCUCUCCCCUAUAUAUAGUGAGGCAUAGGAGCAGCCCAACACAUGAGUUUCUUCUCCUGUUGGCGCAUCCAUACCUCUCUCCCUUCUCCUCAGAUCUCGCGGUGCUUGGCGAAGCCCUGCUGGACUACCACGCUCCUCCAUCACCACCACGCCGUUGUGCUGCUGCUGGAUGGAGUCUUCCUCAACCUCUCCCUCUCUCCUUGCUGGAUCAAGGCGCGGGAGACGUCACCGGGCUGUACGUGUGUUGAACGCGGAGGUGCCGUCCGUUCGGCACUAGGAUCUCCGGUGAUUUGGAUCACGACGAGUACGACUCCUUCAACCCCGUUCUCUUGAACGCUUCCGCUUAGCGAUCUACAAGGGUAUGUAGAUGCACUCUCCUUCCCCUCGUUGCUGGUUUCUCCAUAGAUAGAUCUUGGUGACACGUAGGAAAUUUUUUGAAUUUCUGCUACGUUCCCCAACACUUUUCUGGGUCAUGCCCGGCCGCGGAAGAUCAACACGUCGCAGCCCCACCUAGGCACAACAGAGAGGUCAGCACGCCGGUCUAAACCUAUGCGCACAGGGGUCUGGGCCCAUCGCCCUUUGCACACCUGCAUGUUGCGAGGGCGGCCGGAAGCAGACCUAGCAACCUCUAGUACAACGGAAGUCACGUCACGCGGUCCAAUCUGGCGCGCGUCGCUCAGUCGCUGACGUCACGAAGGCUUCGGCUGAUACCACGACGCCGGGAUACCCAUAACUAUUCCCGCGUAGAUGGUUAGUGCGUAUAGACCAAAUGGCCAGACUCAGAUCAAAUACCCAGAUCUCGUUAAGCGUGUUAAGUAUCCGUGAACGCCGACCAGGGCCAGGCCCACCUCUCACCCAGGUAGUCUCAACCUGCCCUGUCGCUCCGCCACAAAGUUCCAUCCAGAGGGCCAUCGGGACAAAGGUCCUUUCAGCCCCCAAUCCGUGAAUCACUCGCGGGUACUCCUCGAGCCGACCCGACUUUAAUCACCACAUGUAUCAUGUAUAAAGUAUGUAGUAUAUACCCGUGAUCACCUCCCAAGUGAUCACGGCCCGAUAGUAUAGCACAGCAGAUGGACAAGAAUGUAGGGCCACUGAUGGAAAACUAGCAUCCUAUACUAGGCAUGUAGGAUUGCAGGUAAAGGUAACAACAGUAUUAACAAGGACAGGCUAUGCAUCAGGAUAGGUAUAACGGAAAGCAGUAACAUGCUACACUACUCUAAUGCAAGUAGUAUAGAGGAGAGUAGGCGAUAUCUGGUGAUCAAGGGGGGGGGCUUGCCUGGUUGCUCUGGCAAGAGAGAGGGGUCGUCAACUCCGUAGUCGUACUGGGUAGCAGCGGCAUCGGUCUCGGUGUCUAGAUCAAGAAGAGGGGGAAGAAACAAUAAGUAUUUAAGCAAAUAGAUGCAUAGCGAUGCAUGACAUGACAAGUAUCGGUGCUAGGGGUGCCCUAACGCGGUAGGAGGUGAUACCGGUGAAGGGGGAAACAACCGGGAAAGUAUCCCCGGUGUUUCGCGUUUUCGGGCAGAGGAGCCGGAGGGGGAAAGUUGCGAGUUUGAUAUGUUAGGGGUGUGUGGUGGACGAACGGGCUGCGUAUCCGGGUUCGCCGGAUUUUUCUGAGCAACUUUCAUAUAGAAAACAUUUUCAUCUAAUUUACGGUUUAAUUUCUAUGAAUUUUCAAAGUUUUAAACAUUUUCUGAAAUCCCUAUUAACUCGAAAAUAAAUAGACAAAAUUGCUAUGUGCACCCAGAAUUGUACCCAGCCAGCACACACAAGGGCUGACUGGUGGGCCCUGUUGACGGGGUCAACAGACUAGUCAACCAGAGGCUGACUGGUGGGCCCCGAUGCUGAGUCAGCAUGCUGACUCAGCGGAUCUUAUCCAAUUGAACAGUAAAACACGGGCCCCACUUGUCAGUUGUUUAUUUAAUAAAAACAUUUUUAUUAGCAAAAAAAUUAAACGUGCAGGGCCCGGCUGUCAUUGGGGAAUAAGGGCUUGGUUAGUGCUUAUUAAUCCGGCCACGUCGGCGACUAACUCCAGCGCGACGGGGGAGGAACUCUGGCCGGCGCAUUCCGGCAGCCGUUCGCUGCGCGGGCAGGCGCAUUCGAUCGGGCUAGGUGUGGCGCGUCAACCGGGGGAAACUGCGCGAGCGGGGGUCGGUGAGGAGCAGAACAUCGGCACGGCGGUGACGGAGCUCGGUGGUCGCACGGCGAGGCGCGCAGGCGCGCGGCCGUGGGCGCGAGGGCGCGCGGGCAGAGAGGGCGACACGAGCCAGGGCGUGGCGAGGGAUGCGGACGAAGCUGCGCAUCGAGCUAAGGUGACUGGGGACACGGGGAUGCACAGGGUCAACGGCAGCGGCGAACGCUCGCGACGGCGGCGGCUCAGACAUGACAAGCCUGAGAAAAAUGUCCACGAAUCGACCAAAUGGAGGUGGUAGGCGGCAUCUACGCAGCUCCUAAAGCACACACGCAUCCUCAGACGAGGCUAAGUGGCACGGCAGCGACGUGCUCGUCGGCCAUGGCGGACGGCGGCGUCGGCCUCGAGCAGGGGAAGUGGCUACGGCGCACGGGGCAACGAGGAGAGGGGGAAAAGGUGCGGGGCUUACAGUGAGGCACACGGUGGCCGACGACGGGCUUAGCAGCGCAGGAGGGUGGUGAAUCGGGGCGACAGAGUUUGUCGGUGUCGGGGAGGAAGACGAAGGCGAUCCGACGAUGGAGUGCUCCCCGGCUCGCAUUCCUGGGCGUAGAGGAAGUAGCGGACGACGGCGCGUCUUCUGAGCAGGGUCUCGAGGUGUGCGGAGGACGGUGGCCGCGGCUCCUACGGCGGCGAGGCCCUGACUGCGCUCGGCGAGGUGAGGCAGGCGGAGCGAGCGAGGUGGAGAGGGGGAGGAGCGAGUGGGAGGGGUGGCGUCCCGAGGCGCGCUCGUGGCGGCCUUAUCCCCUCCGCGGCGCGCUGUAGCGACGGAGCCGGCGAGGUGGUCCGGUGGGAACGGGCGCUCGUCUCGGGUCUGGGGAACAGGGGAGGAGAGAGUUGACCGAGGAGGAGGAGUGGGCCACUAGGCCAGCUCGGGUGGGCCGAGGCCUAGAGGGCAGGAGGCUUUCUUAUUUUUAUUUUUUUGUUGUUUUUUUCUUUUGUUUUCUGGUUAGAUUUGUUUUUCCUUUUUCUUUUAUUUAUUUCCCUUUUUUGUUAUAAUUCAAUUUAAAAUAUUUAUGCAUUUUAUAAAAAUGUGUUUACUACACCAUAUUUACCUAUGUAAUAUUUAGUACAAACCAAACAUUUUUAUUUUAAUGUUUGAAAACUUUUAUUAUUUACCAAACUUUGAAUUUGAAUUUUGGACCGGUUUUGAUCUAACGAUAGAUUAGCAGCAGUAACCGUGGUGACGUGGCACCAUUAGUGUGGGAUCACUGUAGCUUAAUUAUCCGGGCGUCAC
rnacentral:lncRNA from 1 species